UACAGAGGGUGCAAGCGUUGUUCGGAAUUAUUGGGCGUAAAGCGCGUGUAGGCGGCUUUGCAAGUCGGGUGUGAAAGCCCUCAGCUCAACUGAGGAAGUGCGCCCGAAACUGCAGAGCUUGAGUGCCGGAGAGGGUGGCGGAAUUCCCCAAGUAGAGGUGAAAUUCGUAGAUAUGGGGAGGAACACCGGUGGCGAAGGCGGCCACCUGGACGGUGACUGACGCUGAGACGCGAAAGCGUGGGUAGCAAACAGG
rnacentral:rRNA from 1 species